rnacentral:lncRNA from 1 species
AUGGGUUCAAUUCGUACCUGUUGUAAAGGAGCACCACCAAAAACCACCAACUCAGAGCCUACCGAUGGUGGAAAACCACUAGUAGCAGUCGCACAGUCCUCAGCCCUAUUUUGAUCGAACUUUGAAUUGUAGCAGCAAAUUGUCGCUCUGAAACAAAGAGGGAAACCACCUAAAACCACCACUCCGUCCACCAAGUAUAGAACAGCGAAAGAGAUG